AUUGAACGCUGGCGGCAGGCUUAACACAUGCAAGUCGAGCGGGGGAAGGUAGCUUGCUACCGGACCUAGCGGCGGACGGGUGAGUAAUGCUUAGGAAUCUGCCUAUUAGUGGGGGACAACAUCUCGAAAGGGAUGCUAAUACCGCAUACGUCCUACGGGAGAAAGCAGGGGAUCUUCGGACCUUGCGCUAAUAGAUGAGCCUAAGUCAGAUUAGCUGGUUGGUGGGGUAAAGGCCUACCAAGGCGACGAUCUGUAGCGGGUCUGAGAGGAUGAUCCGCCACACUGGGACUGAGACACGGCCCAGACUCCUACGGGAGGCAGCAGUGGGGAAUAUUGGACAAUGGGCGAAAGCCUGAUCCAGCCAUGCCGCGUGUGUGAAGAAGGCCUUUUGGUUGUAAAGCACUUUAAGCGAGGAGGAGGCUACCGAGAUUAAUACUCUUGGAUAGUGGGCGUUACUCGCAGAAUAAGCACCGGCUAACUCUGUGCCAGCAGCCGCGGUAA
rnacentral:rRNA from 1 species